rnacentral:tRNA from 1 species
UGGACUAUAGCUCAGUGGUAGAGUACACGUUUUGUACUUAUGAGGCCUGGGGUUCGAUCCUCAGUACUCAAA